AGUGAACGCUGGCGGUAGGCCUAACACAUGCCAGUCGAACGGCAGCACAGUAAGAGCUUGCUCUUACGGGUGGCGAGUGGCGGACGGGUGAUGAAUACAUCGGAAUCUACUUUUUCGUGGGGGAUAACGUAGGGAAACUUACGGCAAUAGCGCAUACGGCCUACGGGUGAGAGCAGGGGAUCUUCGGAUCUUGCGCGAUUGAAUGAGCCGAUGUCGGAUUAGCUAGUUGGCGGGGUAAAGGCCCACCAAGGCGACGAUCCGUAGCUGGUCUGAGAGGAUGAUCAGCCACACUGGAACUGAGACACGGUCCAGACUCCUACGGGAGGCAGCAGUGGGGAAUAUUGGACAAUGGGCGCAAGCCUGAUCCAGCCAUACCGCGUGGGUGAAGAAGGCCUUCGGGUUGUAAAGCCCUUUUGUUGGGAAAGAAAAGCAGCAGGUUAAUACCCCGCUGUUCUGACGGUACCCAAAGAAUAAGCACCGGCUAACUUCGUG
rnacentral:rRNA from 1 species